GUGCUUUGGCAGCACAUAUACUAAAAAUUGGAAUGAUACAGAGAAGAUUAGCAUGGCCCCUGCACAAGGAUGACACGCAAAUUCGUGAAACGGUUCAUAUUUUU